GCAUACAGAUGGCGCUAUUAAGGAGCCUUAUUCAGUGGUUGUUGUUGUUUUUUUUGUUAGGUUUAUAUUUAUCAUUUUAUUGUUCCGUUGUCUUGUUUUUGUGUUCCUCUCAUCUUAUUCAUCAUCAACUUGAUUACUUGGACACGCGUUUAGAUUACCCUGCGACAUGACAAUAAACAACACCGAAAGGGACAAAAGAAAACAAUAAAUCGGAAAACAAUUUUCAUCAUCAUCAAAUGAAUGUCUUGAUCAACAUAGAUGAUAUUAUCUACUGUAAUCAAACAAGCAACUGAGCACAGGUUACACCAACACAGGUUUUCCCAAUUGAUAUAACAGUAGGCUGGAAUGGUGCCAAAUAGGACAAACACACACACGAAAAUGUCAACAAUUGAAGGACACGUUUCUUUUCAUUGCUUAUCAUCAUUAUCAGGAUCAUCUUCAAUAACAACAUCAUCACAAACAAUAGUGACAGAAUUACCUCGCAUUUGCACACCUUAUCUAAAUGAGCAACUGUACACUAACAUUAUUAUUACCCCUCCAUAAAAAUUAAUUUGGGUUUAAUUUUGAUUCAAGAUUAUGAUCUAGGAUUCAGCUAACAUUCAGUUAUUUGGAACAACGUUUCAGCAUUUAGUAAACAAACAAUAUGUCUAUAUGUUUAUACUCGGCGUCUCUUGUAAAAAGACCAAGAGGUUUUAUCAUAUUAACAACUUAAUACAAUUGUAUAAUAACUUCAUUAUUUCAUUUUGUA